ensembl:lncRNA
UUGGACUUUUAUAGCAAAUCAUUUUUGAGCUAAACAGCAUCUGCCAUCAUUUCCUGUAAGGAAAAGAGCAAUUAGGGCAACAAUUUGUUAAAUAUGUUUUGUGUUCCAUAGAAGAAAAAGUUACAGGUCUGGGUUCAUUUUGAGUGAAUUGCCCCAUAAAUUCAUUUGAACAUCAAUGAGGAAAUCUGAGAGAAUAAUUACUUAUGCACUGUAGCAUGUCUGCAAUACUGUAAUGUAAAAUGUUAUGUUGUGACCUGCCUUCUAAGUUUACACAGACCUCUAAGUUUUAGCUUCUGCCUUGUGCCCCAUUCCAUAACGGCAUGAGUUAAAAUCCUGAUUCAAUAGUAAAGUCGAGUCUGUCCCAAUGGCACGAUAACAGAGGUGGGAGGUACAGUUUAAAAAGAUGAAAUACUGCACUAGGGCAAAUCUUUCUGUAAGCUGCAAUUUGAGCAAUGUUGUUUAAAACGCUUUGAGGCUCAAAUGACAUUCCAGCCUAUAAACCGGAUGUCCGUCUCUUUCUCAAUAACUAGCAUUCUAGCUUACUUAGUGGGUUGUGAAUUUAAAACGUUAUAGAGUAGAUAAAAAUACAAUACAGUCAUCAUUAAAAAGAAAAGAAAAAAAUACUUCAAAGAGUUUGAUCUGGAAUACCUGUCUUUGAAUUUGCAGACUGGAUCCAGAUUUCCAGUGCUGGAGGUCUGUGGUGAACCACCCACUGCUGGCAGCGGUCUGAGCCGGCUGAGGCAGCGGAUGGGGUGGGUGUUGAAUCUAAGGCCCCUAUGGAGAGCACAGGAGUCCAGCAGAAAGAAUCCAGAUUUACGGAGGAAGAGAGCGAGAGACAGAAGUAAAAGAGAAAAAGAACGAGUAAAGCUACACUAAAUAUUCUUACCAGAUGCUAUUUGAGUGGUUUCUUUUGGAGUGGUAAUGUUUGUUUCUCUUGAUCUUGGUCCAAACUCCCAUAGCCAAGCAAAUCUUCCAGGACCAGGUAGAUGUCUGUUGAGGAAAUUAGCUAGAGAACAUGUAGUUUACAAGCAUCUUCUGUCCUGCAUUCACAUAAAUAUUUGAAUAAUUAUUGCAUUAUUGUGGUCCUAAUUGAAUAGUGUGGAUUUGAGCUAUAAAAUGAAUGCUGUUGCACAUUUAAUCUUUUUGUGUAAUCUUUUUAGUGUAAUUUCAUAUACUUGAAAAAGUCCAUCCUCUGUUGUUCUCCCUCAUUAAAAUCCAACGACAUACUUGUUUAGAAGUGAAGAAGGUGCCUGAUCUGUGCAUAUUUCUCUCCUGAUUCAAACACUUCAGAACUUCACUGGAGAAAACAAUAUUAAGGAUAGAGGACUCUUACUGUAUAUCAGCCGAAA